rnacentral:rRNA from 1 species
AACGAACGCUGGCGGCAGGCUUAACACAUGCAAGUCGAACGGGUGUCGCAAGACAUCAGUGGCAGACGGGUGAGUAACACGUGGGAACCUUCCUCGGGGUACGGAACAACGCAGGGAAACUUGCGCUAAUACCGUAUACGUCCGUGAGGAGAAAGAUUUAUCGCCCUGAGACGGGCCCGCGUCGGAUUAGCUAGUUGGUGGGGUAACGGCCUACCAAGGCGACGAUCCGUAGCUGAUCUUAGAGGANGAUCAGCCACACUGGGACUGAGACACGGCCCAGACUCCUACGGGAGGCAGCAGUGGGGAAUCUUGGACAAUGGGCGCAAGCCUGAUCCAGCCAUGCCGCGUGAGUGAAGAAGGUCUUCGGAUUGUAAAGCUCUUUUACCAGGGACGAUAAUGACGGUACCUGGAGAAUAAGCCCC